rnacentral:rRNA from 1 species
UAGGGAAUCUUCGGCAAUGGGGGCAACCCUGACCGAGCAACGCCGCGUGAGUGAAGAAGGUUUUCGGAUCGUAAAGCUCUGUUGUAAGAGAAGAACGUGUGUGAGAGUGGAAAGUUCACACAGUGACGGUACUUACCAGAAAGGGACGGCUAACUACGUGCCAGCAGCCGCGGUAAUACGUAGGUCCCGAGCGUUGUCCGGAUUUAUUGGGCGUAAAGCGAGCGCAGGCGGUUUAAUAAGUCUGAAGUUAAAGGCAGUGGCUUAACCAUUGUUCGCUUUGGAAACUGUUAAACUUGAGUGCAGAAGGGGAGAGUGGAAUUCCAUGUGUAGCGGUGAAAUGCGUAGAUAUAUGGAGGAACACCGGUGGCGAAAGCGGCUCUCUGGUCUGUAACUGACGCUGAGGCUCGAAAGCGUGGGGAGCAAACAGG